CUAACGUUACUUUAACGUACGCUGAACCAUCGCAAGUCCAACAAGCCGUGUUUAUAACCCUGCUGGACCGAGUUUAGAGAAGAAAGUGAAUUGUGAUAGUUAUGGAAGAAGCGGAGACUGUCCCGGUACUUUCCAGAAAAGAGCUGCGUAAGCAGAAGUUGAUGGAAUACUUGUCAGGAAAAGGAAAACUGAAACAGCCAAACCCUAAGCCAUACCUUCGCAAUGACUACCAGGUUAAAAAGCCUGUCACAUCGACACUAAAGGUGGGUGUG